rnacentral:rRNA from 1 species
UACGGAGGGUGCGAGCGUUAAUCGGAAUAACUGGGCGUAGAGCGCACGCAGGCGGGCUUUUAAGUGAGAUGUGAAAUCCCCGGGCUUAACCUGGGAAUAGCAUAUCAGACUGGGAAUCUAGAGUACUUUAGAGAGGGGUAGAAUUCCACGUGUAGCGGUGAAAUGCGUAGAGAUGUGGAGGAAUACCGAAGGCGAAGGCAGCCCCUUGGGAAUGGACUGACGCUCAUGUGCGAAAGCGUGGGGAGCAAACAGG